CUGCCUACGGGACGCAGCAGUGAGGAAUAUUGGUCAAUGGGCGGGAGCCUGAACCAGCCAAGUCGCGUGAAGGAAGAAGGCCCUCGGGUUGUAAACUUCUUUUAUCAGGGACGAAGGAUGUGACGGUACCUGAUGAAUAAGCUCCGGCUAACUACGUGCCAGCAGCCGCGGUAAUACGUAGGGAGCAAGCGUUAUCCGGAUUUACUGGGUGUAAAGGGCGCGUAGGCGGGAUGGCAAGUCAGAUGUGAAAUCCGGGGGCUCAACCCCUGAACUGCAUUUGAAACUGUCGUUCUUGAGUACUGGAG
rnacentral:rRNA from 1 species